rnacentral:rRNA from 1 species
GACGAACGCUGGCGGCGUGCUUAACACAUGCAAGUCGAACGAAGAGCGAUGGAAGCUUGCUUCUAUCAAUCUUAGUGGCGAACGGGUGAGUAACGCGUAAUCAACCUGCCCUUCAGAGGGGGACAACAGUUGGAAACGACUGCUAAUACCGCAUACGAUCUAAUCUCGGCAUCGAGGAUAGAUGAAAGGUGGCCUCUACAUGUAAGCUAUCACUGAAGGAGGGGAUUGCGUCUGAUUAGCUAGUUGGAGGGGUAACGGCCCACCAAGGCGAUGAUCAGUAGCCGGUCUGAGAGGAUGAACGGCCACAUUGGGACUGAGACACGGCCCAGACUCCUACGGGAGGCAGCAGUGGGGAAUCUUCCGCAAUGGACGAAAGGCUGACGGAGCAACGCCGCGUGAGUGAUGACGGCCUUCGGGUUGUAAAGCUCGGUUAAUCGGGACGAAAGGCCUUCUUGCGAAUAGUGAGAAGGAUUGACGGUACCGGAAUAGAAAGCCACGGCUAACUACGUG